GACGAACGCUGGCGGCGUGCCUAAUACAUGCAAGUCGAGCGAAGUUUUUCUGGUGCUUGCACUAGAAAAACUUAGCGGCGAACGGGUGAGUAACACGUAAAGAACCUGCCUCAUAGACUGGGACAACUAUUGGAAACGAUAGCUAAUACCGGAUAACAGUAUUUCUCGCAUGAGAGAUAUUUAAAAGUUGUUUAUGCUGACACUAUGAGAUUGCUUUGCGGUGCAUUAGCUAGUUGGUGGGGUAAAGGCCCACCAAGGCGACGAUGCAUAGCCGACCUGAGAGGGUGAUCGGCCACACUGGGACUGAGACACGGCCCAGACUCCUACGGGAGGCAGCAGUAGGGAAUCUUCCGCAAUGGGCGAAAGCCUGACGGAGCAACGCCGCGUGAGUGAAGAAGGAGUUCGGUUCGUAAAGCUCUGUUGUUAGGGAAGAAUGGAUAUGUAGUAACUAUACAUGUAAGAGACGGUACCUAACCAGAAAGCCACGGCUAACUACGUG
rnacentral:rRNA from 1 species